rnacentral:rRNA from 1 species
UACGUAGGGGGCAAGCGUUGUCCGGAUUCAUUGGGCGUAAAGAGCGUGUAGGCGGCCAGGUAGGUCGGUUGUGAAAACUGGAGGCUCAACCUUCAGAGGUCGACCGAAACCAUCUGGCUAGAGUCCGGGAGAGGAGAGUGGAAUUCCUGGUGUAGCGGUGAAAUGCGCAGAUAUCGUCAAGAACACCUAUAGCGAAGGCAGCUUACUAGGCUGUAACUGACGCUGAGGCACGAAAGUGUGGGGAUCAAACAGG